AAGGUGCUGCAUGGUUGUCGUCAGCCCGUGCCGUGAGGUGUCGGCUUAAGUGCCAUAACGAGCGCAACCCUUAUCUUCAGUUACUAACAGGUCAUGCUGAGGACUCUGGAGAGACUGCCGUCGUAAGAUGUGAGGAAGGUGGGGAUGACGUCAAAUCAGCACGGCCCUUACGUCCGGGGCUACACACGUGUUACAAUGGGGGGUACAGAAGGCCGCUACCUGGUGACAGGAUGCCAAUCCCAAAAACCUCUCUCAGUUCGGAUCGAAGUCUGCAACCCGACUUCGUGAAGCUGGAUUCGCUAGUAAUCGCGCAUCAGCCAUGGCGCGGUGAAUACGUUCCCGGGCCUUGUACACACCGCCCGUCAAGCCAUGAAAGCCGGGGGUACCUGAAGUACGUAACCGCAAGGAGCGUCCUAGGGUAAAACUGGUAAUUGGGGCUAAGUCGUAACAAGGUAGCCGUACCGGAAGGUGCGGCUGGAUCACCUC
rnacentral:rRNA from 1 species